UCUUGUGUUCAUUUUCCUUGAGGCCUGGAACCAGCCAGAACGUUCCGGAACCGGCCGGAACUGGCCUCUCCUCACUGACACCCCACAGCCCCCGCUGCAAAGUUGGUGCCACAGACAUCGUGCAUAGCUGACAGUCACUUGACAAGAUUAAUUAUUUGGGGUGUUUUAGUGGUGUUUGUGAGGCCCUGGCAUGCAGAUUAAUGGCAUGGUGCCAGGUGCCAUGCAGGUGAGCCUCACCUCAACACCUCACGGUGAGUGCGAGGAGUUAGUGGGCUCGGCUCACCUGGUGAUUUCUUCAGGAGUCACCUGCAGUCUGAGCAGUUGCUGCCUUGGGAUUUAUAGCCGUGAAGUGUCUCCUACCCAUUCUUAGAAAUGAAGUUAAAUGCUAGUGACACAUUGGAAUAUGGGAAUUUUGACAUUGGCUUCUGUGAGAGUUGGCGAAGAGAAGGAGGUGGGCAAAACUCAACCAGAAGGAUGCAUCUGUUCAGGGGAGUAGCAGGAGGAGUGAAGAGAUGAGACAAAGCUGUGCUGUAUUCAUGGAGGACAAUGGAUAAACACACCACACCCAGAGAGCAAGAAGUAACUGUGCUUUUUGAGACAGAAUCUUUCCUGGAAUAUUUUAAAGGAAAGUUGGACUGGAAAAACAUGUCACAAAUACAUCAAUGUUUUGACGACUCGCUCAGUUAUUCUAUGACCCAUAAAGAAUUUGCACUAUAGCAAGAACACUAUGCCAUACAUAGCAACACUAUAGCAAGAACGCUAUGCCAUCAAUCCAAGAACAUGGUAUCACCAUAAAUUGGAAGAGCCUGUGUGGUGUGACUUGGUGAACAUGAGUUCUGCACUGACUACUUCAGUGGCUGAAAGGUGAAGCUUCAUGUGUCCAAAGUGCCCAGCAGAAAUGUCUCCCAGCAUCAGUUUGCCAACAUUUAAUCAGGAAUACUUGUGAAUAUUUUUGAAUUGUAUAUUCAUUCAUCAACAAAGCGGGAAACUAAAAGUUUUACAGGCAGCAAGCUCCACAAAGCAAGAACAUAAAUCCACUGCUACUCUUCCUAUUCUAUUCCUAUGGAUUUCAGAUUGGAAAAUGGAGGAAACUGCACUUGUACUUCAGGUGAUUCAUCGUUGCCAUAAACCCACUCCUAACGAACCAGUCUCAUUCUGCUGAUGCACGGACCAAUCCCUCAAGAUAAAAAGACAGUUCUGCAGGUAGCAUAUAAUCACAGCCAUAUCUGAGUUUCUUUCUGCCUCCAUGAUAACCUUCCCAGGGAACUCACUCGAGCCAGGAAGGCACUCAGCAACAAAGCACCUGGAAAACCUACUAUACACGUUUGUUCAAAGACGCUUGUUUAAAAAGUGUAAUUUUUAUGGACCUGCUCUGACUAUAUCAAGACAACCAACCAUAAUGCUCUGCAGGAAAUCAGACCACCACUGCUUAGAGGCAUAACAUAUCAAGUUGUACACUUAAAUCUGCACAAGAGAUCCUUGAUCUCCAGCUUAAAUGAUGGAGAAUUGAUAAAUGCCUAUGUGAAACCUGCAAUAAACAGUCAGCUGGGUCAGAAAACAUAACAAGGAGAUAAAGGUUCUUACAAAUAAAGAUGUGCUUAAUUAACUUAUGAUUAUACAGUUCUCCAACAUCUUCUACUCUAAAGCAUAGAAACAUAACACAUUGUUAUUCAUUCCUGCCACCAUUCAACACAUAUCAAAUUAGCAUUCUAUUACAAGCAACAUCAAAUAUUUCUUUUCUUUUUGAAAUCUGCUUGAACAGAGGAAGAAAGCAAUACCAAAGCAAUGCCAAAAAGUGUACUACUGCAGGCAAUAUGUGGAGUUCCAUUCCCACCUGUAAAUGAAAAGCUUUUUGUUAAGCAGAUGUUUUAUGCUUGCAAGUAUCCCGUGGAUUCAGCAGUGCAUUCAAGUAUCACACAGACAUUCAACACACAAACAGCUGUCCAGUUUAGUUAGAAUGCUGUAAGGCAGAGCAUGGUCUCUUUAACAGUUACACAAUCAUUACUGAAAAAUAUUUGCCUUGCCACCUUUUAAAAUACCACAUUAAAAUGUAUUAUAUGAAAAAUAAUCCUGCAACCAUACAGUUAAACCUGCAAAAAGCACAUUAAAUAAAAGGAACUUUAUCGUACAGGAGUGAAUGGAAGUGUAAUUCUCAGUUCCCAGUUGGGUCAUUUUCUGAACUACUUUUUCAUGUGUGUCAAUGCCAGUCAUAUAUACGUGUGCUGGUCAUUUUCAUCUUCACACAAGCUACCUGAAUUAUUUGAUUUGUGUUCACUUUCAGCAACAGUGUUUGCAACUGUGAUUACACAUUUCCUGUUUCCAUACCAGAAGUCUGCCACAGUGGAAACAUCACUUUGCUUCAGACUGCCAUCUUUCAGUAAACACAGAAGCCCCAGUGCUACCUCUGCCCUAAUUCCACAUCUGUGUCUGAAAGAUGGAUCACAAAACUAUUUCACCUCUAGAUUACUGAGGUCUACGUUGAGAAAAACAGGAGACAACUGGCACAGUGAGGCACUGACCCGUUUUACUGUAUGCAUCCUUUGAAAAGGAUGGACCUAUUUUUAUAACAGAGAUGUAGAAGACUUCACACAUGAGAUUAAAAAGGUUAUUACACUACUAGCAAAGUAGCAAAUGAUGCACAUGUAUAAUGCAACUAGAAUUUAAAAUUAAAUAAAGACCUAGAAUUAGCAAUGUUGGCUAUUAAAUUUGUACUGCUUACAGAAUUCCUACAGCAUGAUAGGAAAACACAACAAAAAUAUUUCCUCAGCAGGAUAUAUGCACCAACAUGACCUGCUAGCUUCAGCUCCCUUGUGAGAUAUACAGAGACAAAUACGAAAACUAACAGCAACAUGUUACACUUGGAUUAGAAAAUCAGCUGUUUAGUCUAUUGAGGACUCAGUGGACUGAUAGAAAAGCUUAUUUUUUAAUUAAAGCAUUUUCCCUUGGGCCCUAUAUCAAGGCAGACAAUUUCUGAGAUAAAGAAGCUUGGGAAAUGUUGCAUCAAUUAAAAUUAUUAUUACAUAUGAUUUAAAAUGUAUUAUUUGGGGGUACAGUUGGCUAAUUCAAAGCACACAGUGGGUGAUCAGUUCAUUUUUCUGCUUAUUUGUACUCAGAGACAUCACUCAGCUUUAAUCUGAGAUUUUGUACCAGGAGCACUGAACAGACUGGGACAUAACAUAAGCAGUGGACUCAACCAUGCCAGUCAGUGGAGAGGCAGGUAUGAGGAGCCAGGGCACUCCUCCAAAAAAUUCAACACCAUAAUUCCAAAUACGCAGACAAAAACAGUAAUGACUAUCACUAGAUUUCUUGCACUCAAAGUAUACAUGACCUUGUAAACACCUCAUUAUCUGGGAACAAAACAGGAGUCAUUUCUUCACCCUCUGCCUCAAAUCAGUGUCCAAAUAAGCUGUUCACAGCAAACUGAAGCUCCCAUGCACACACUCAGGAAUGACUGAAAACGGGCUGAAUUCAACUGAAGGAUCCUAAUGGAACAAUUCAUGCUGCAGAUACACAUCAGUUUCAUCUCUACAUCAAAACAUUCUUUGAUUUAUUAUUGGUUUCUUUAAAUCACUUACAAUCUUUGUUGCUUUGGCAUAAUUUGCAUCUC